CCUACGGGAGGCAGCAGUCGAGAAUCAUUCACAAUGGGGGAAACCCUGAUGGUGCGACGCCGCGUGGGGGAAUGAAGGUCUUCGGAUUGUAAACCCCUGUCAUGUGGGAGCAAAUUAAAAAGAUAGUACCACAAGAGGAAGAGACGGCUAACUCUGUGCAAGCAGCCGCGGUAAUACAGAGGUCUCAAGCGUUGUUCGGAAUCACUGGGCGUAAAGGGUGCGUAGGCUGUUUCGUAAGUCGUGUGUGAAAGGCGCGGGCUCAACCCGCGGACGGCACAUGAUACUGCGAGGCUAGAGUAAUGGAGGGGGAACCGGAAUUCUCGGUGUAGCAGUGAAAUGCGUAGAUAUCGAGAGGAACACUCGUGGCGAAGGCGGGUUCCUGGACAUUAACUGACGCUGAGGCACGAAGGCCAGGGGAGCGAAAGGGAUUAGAUACCCGAGUAGUC
rnacentral:rRNA from 1 species